rnacentral:tRNA from 1 species
AAUAAUUUUUUUAAAAAUAAAAUAAAUUUUUAAUAGUUAAUGAGCUUGAACAAGCAUAU